rnacentral:rRNA from 1 species
UACAGAGGGUGCAAGCGUUGUUCGGAAUUAUUGGGCGUAAAGAGCUCGUAGGCGGCUUGUCGCGUCGGAUGUGAAAGCCCGGGGCUUAACUCCGGGUCUGCAUUCGAUACGGGCAGGCUAGAGUUCGGUAGGGGAGAUCGGAAUUCCUGGUGUAGCGGUGAAAUGCGCAGAUAUCAGGAGGAACACCCGUAGCGAAGGCGGCACUCUGGGCCGAUUCUGACACUGAGGAGCGAAAGCGUGGGGAGCGAACAGG